GGGAACUCGGCAAAUUACCCCCGUAACUUCGGGAGAAGGGGGGCCGGACACGUGAAGCAACACGCUUGUGGAGCGUGGUAUGGCCGCAGAGACCAGGGGGAAGCGACUGUUUACUAAAAACACAGGUCCAUGCGAAGAAGUAAUUCGAUGUAUAUGGACUGACGCCUGCCCGGUGCUGGAACGUUAAGGGGACCUGUUAGCUCUUCGGGGCGAGGCGGAGAACUUAAGCGCCAGUAAACGGCGGUGGUAACUAUAACCAUCCUAAGGUAGCGAAAUUCCUUGUCGGGUAAGUUCCGACCUGCACGAAUGGCGUAACGACUUCCCUACUGUCUCAACCACAGGCCCGGCGAAAUUGCAGUACGAGUAAAGAUGCUCGUUACGCGCGGCAGGACGGAAAGACCCCGGGACCUUUACUAUAGCUUGACAUUGGUAUCUGAGUUAAUUUGUGUAGGAUAGGUGGGAGCCUGUGAAGCUCGUACGCCAGUACGGGUGGAGGCAAUCUUGAAAUACCACUCUGGUUGAUUCGGGUAUCUAACUUCGGACCGUGAUCCGGUUCAGGGACAGUGUCUGGUGGGUAGUUUAACUGGGGCGGUUGCCUCCUAAAGAGUAACGGAGGCGCCCAAAGGUUCCCUCAGCCUGGUUGGCAAUCAGGUGUUGAGUGUAAGUGCACAAGGGAGCUUGACUGCGAGACUGACAGGUCGAGCAGGGACGAAAGUCGGGACUAGUGAUCCGGCACCGGCAUGUGGAAGCGGUGUCGCUCAACGGAUAAAAGGUACCCCGGGGAUAACAGGCUGAUCUUCCCCAAGAGUCCAUAUCGACGGGAUGGUUUGGCACCUCGAUGUCGGCUCGUCGCAUCCUGGGGCUGUAGCAGGUCCCAAGGGUUGGGCUGUUCGCCCAUUAUAGCGGUACGCGAGCUGGGUUUAGAACGUCGUGAGACAGUUCGGUCCCUAUCCGCCGUGCGCGUAGGAUACUUGAGAAGGGCUGUCCCUAGUACGAGAGGACCGGGACGGACGAACCUCUGGUGUGCCAGUUGUCCCGCCAGGGGCACGGCUGGUUAGCUACGUUCGGAAGGGAUAACCGCUGAAAGCAUCUAAGCGGGAAGCUCGCUUCAAGAUGAGGUAUCCCACCCACACUUGUGUGGGGUAAGGCCCCCAGCUAGACCACUGGGUUGAUAGGCAGGAAAUGUAAGCCCGGUAACGGGUUCAGUUGGCCUGUACUAAUAGGCCGAGGACUUGAAC
rnacentral:rRNA from 1 species